GAGCCAAUCUUUACCACGUGCUCUUCAUUCCCAUCGUUCAAAGGAAUUGAGACAAGAUCUUCAAUUGGCUCACCCCGUUCUUCAGCAAGGUCGUCACGGGUGUCUAAUCCAUCAACCGGACAGGGGUCAGACUGACCAUUUCUUUGUAAGGCUAUGUUAUAGCAGUGUCUUGCCAGGAUCUGAUCUCCUCUGACCUCUCC
rnacentral:lncRNA from 1 species